rnacentral:rRNA from 1 species
AAAGGGUGAGGAGAAAGAAGGAGGGGGUUUUGCGCCCUUUAGUGCGGAAGGUUGCGCAUUAUGCAAUCCUCCUUGGGUGUUCGGCCGCAAGGCUUAAACUCAAAGGAAUUGACGGGGGCCCGCACUAGCGGUGGAUCAUGUGGUUUAAUUUGAAGCAACGCGAAGAACCUUAUCAGGUUUUGACAUCCUCUGAAAACCCUAGAGAUAGGGCUUCUCCUUCGGGAGCAGAAUGACAGGUGGUGCAUGGUUGUGGUCAGCUAGUGUUGUGAGAUGUUGGGUUAAGUCCCGCAACGAGCGCAACCCUUGAUUUUAGUUGCCAUCAUUAAGUUGGGCACUUUAAGGUGACUGCCGGUGACAAACCGGAGGAAGGUGGGGAAGACGUCAAAUCAUCAUGCCCCUUAUGACCUGGGGUACACACGUGCUACAAUGGACGGUACAAAGAGCUGCAAGACCGCGAGGUGGAGCUAAUCUCAUAAAACCGUUCUCAGUUCGGAUUGUAGGCUGCAAUUCGCCUACAUGAAGCUGGAAUCGUUAGUAAUCGCGGAUCAGCAUGCCGCGGUGAAUACGUUCCCGGGCCUUGUACACACCGCCCGUCCCACCCCGAGAGUUUGUAACCCCCGAAGUCGGUGGGGUAACCUUUUUGGAGCCAGCCGCCUAAGGUGGGACAGAUGAUUGGGGUGAAGUUGUAACAAAGUA